rnacentral:rRNA from 1 species
AUGAACGCUGGCGGCGUGCUUAACACAUGCAAGUCGCACGAGAACUCUUCUGCUUGCAGAAGAUAGUAAAGUGGCGCACGGGUGAGUAACGCGUGGGUAAUCUGCCUCUGAAUUGGGGAUAACCCCGCGAAAGCGGGGCUAAUACCGAAUAAUAUCCCGAGAACUUAGGCUUUUGGGAUCAAAGGUGGCCUCUACAUGUAAGCUAUUGUUUGGAGAUGAGCCCGCGUACCAUUAGCUUGUUGGUAGGGUGAUGGCCUACCAAGGCAACGAUGGUUAGCUGGUCUGAGAGGAUGAUCAGCCACACUGGAACUGAAACACGGUCCAGACUCCUACGGGAGGCAGC